rnacentral:rRNA from 1 species
AGUGAACGCUGGCGGCGUGCUUAAGACAUGCAAGUCGAACGGCAGUCUUCGGACUGUAGUGGCGCACGGGUGAGUAACGCGUAACUGACCUACCCCAAAGUCGCGGAUAACGAUUCGAAAGAAUCGCUAAUACGUGAUGUGCUGUCAGAUUGUGUUCUGCCAGUAAAGAUUGAUUGCUUUGGGAUGGGGUUGCGUUCCAUCAGCUAGUUGGUGGGGUAAAGGCCCACCAAGGCGACGACGGAUAGCCGGCCUGAGAGGGUGGCCGGCCACAGGGGCACUGAGACACGGGUCACACUCCUACGGGAGGCAGCAGUUAGGAAUCUUCCACAAUGGGCGAAAGCCUGAUGGAGCGACGCCGCGUGAGGGAUGAAGGUCUUCGGAUCGUAAACCUCUGAAUCAGGGACGAAAGACACAUCGGUGGGAUGACGGUACCUGAGUAAUAGCACCGGCUAACUCCGUGCCAGCCGCCGCCGUAACAC